CUACGGGAGGCUGCAGUAGGGAAUAUUGCGCAAUGGGGGAAACCCUGACGCAGCAACGCCGCGUGGGUGAAGAAGGCUUUCGGGUUGUAAAGCCCUGUCAGGAGGGAAGAAAUGCAAGUGAGAGUAAUACCUCACUUGUUUGACGGUACCUCCAAAGGAAGCACCGGCCAACUCCGUGCCAGCAGCCGCGGUAAUACGGAGGGUGCAAGCGUUGUUCGGAUUUACUGGGCGUAAAGCGCGUGUAGGCGGCUUGUUAGGUCAGAUGUGAAAGCCCCCGGCUUAACCGGGGAAGUGCAUUUGAAACCAAUAGGCUUGAGUACGGGAGAGGGAAGCGGAAUUCCUAGUGUAGAGGUGAAAUUCGUAGAUAUUAGGAGGAACACCCGUGGCGAAGGCGGCUUCCUGGACCGAUACUGACGCUGAGACGCGAAAGCGUGGGGAGCAAACAGGAUUAGAUACCCGUGUAGUC
rnacentral:rRNA from 1 species